UACGUAGGGGGCUAGCGUUGUCCGGAAUCAUUGGGCGUAAAGCGCGUGUAGGCGGUCCGGUAAGUCCGCUGUGAAAGUCGGGGGCUCAACCCUCGGAUGCCGGUGGAUACUGUCGGGCUUGAGUACGGAAGAGGCGAGUGGAAUUCCUGGUGUAGCGGUGAAAUGCGCAGAUAUCAGGAGGAACACCUAUAGCGAAGGCAGCUUGCUGGGACGUUACUGACGCUAAGGCGCGAAAGCGUGGGGAGCGAACAGG
rnacentral:rRNA from 1 species